ACAUUCUCUUCCCAGCUGAACUUUGACUGACUCCUUUGACUUGAUGAUGCAGGAAUCGUCACUUCCGCUUCCUGUUGAGCUACAGGUUGACUCCCCAUCACUAUAAGAAUAUCAUUCAUCAUCACCUCUGAAACGCCAGAAACCUUCAUCAGCUACACACUCAACAGCUGUUCAGUGUGCUGCAGAAACCAUCCAAACAAAUGUUCAUUUGAGCAAGAAAAAUGAACCAAAUCUUUAUCUUCUCUUUCCUUGCAGGUCUCAGUUUGGGGCUUGAGGUCCAUCAGUCCCACUCUGAUCUCAUCACAAGAAAUGGAGAUAAAGUUCACAUUUUCUGCACCCAUGAAAAAACCGACUACAGAGUGAUGCUCUGGUACCAGCGGCUACCUGGAGACACGGCCAUGAAGCUCAUCGGACAUUUGUACUACGACAAGCCGUCUAUGGAAGACGGAUAUAAAAAGGACUUUGGGAUCUCUGGAGACCUGGGAGGGGAGACGGCGAAGAACGGAUCCCUGACGAUCCAAACCGUGAAACAGGAUCACUCUGCCGUUUACUACUGUGCUGCAAGAGAAGCACAAUGACAGAAAUCCUCUCUGCACCUCAACAAAAACUGAGCUGUGUUUUAUCAUCAGUGGUUUUUAUAGAAAACUGACACCUGCUUGU